UACGGGGGGGGCAAGCGUUGUUCGGAAUUACUGGGCGUAAAGGGCUCGUAGGCGGCCAAGUAAGUCAGACGUGAAAUCCCUCGGCUUAACUGGGGAACUGCGUCUGAUACUGGAUGGCUUGGAUUCGGGAGAGGAAUGCGGAAUUCCAGGUGUAGCGGUGAAAUGCGUAGAUAUCUGGAGGAACACCGGUGGCGAAGGCGGCAUUCUGGACCGAUAUUGACGCUGAGGAGCGAAAGCCAGGGGAGCAAACGGG
rnacentral:rRNA from 1 species